CUUGAAACAACCAGCCUGACUUGUACAGUGUUUAGAGCUAAAAGUCUUUUGGAUUAUGUCACCUCAGACCUUAACAAUAGUCAGCUCCUUCUAAGGUGAAACAUGAAAGAGAACAGAGAAUUCUACAGGUGAACCAGGUUUUUGAGCUUCUUUUUUCCACUUACUUAUCUGAAAUGAACAUGGCACGUCUCUAAGAAAAUCUGACAGGAAGCAAAGAACAAAAGAGCAAGUAAGAUAUCACCUCUGCCAAACAGCAGUUCUAGGACAUGAUCUGGACCUUUACUCCCUUAGAAGCCUUCUUUCCUUUGUACGAGAUAAAAACCCCUGUGAGCCAGCAAUGUGUUGUUACCUACUGCCUAGUGAGAGAACAAAUCCCGA